AACUUUUAGCAACGGAUCUCUUGGCUCUCGCAUCGAUGAAGAACGCAGCGAAAUGCGAUACGUAAUGUGAAUUGCAGAUUUAACAGAAUCAUCGAAUCAUUGAACGCACCUUGCACUCUUUUGUUAUUCAGAAGAGUAUGCCUGUUUGAGUGUCGCGAACCUCUCAACCCCGCCCAAUCUUGGGUUGCCUGGGCUUGGAUCAUGGUAAUGCCGGCUGUCUUUGGAACCGGCUGGACUGAAAUACAACAAGCUGGAUCAGAAAACGUUCUUGCGACCUAACCUGACGUUGUAAAAAUUUCAACUCGUUGGGGACGCGCAACGUUGUGAAUGAGCUUCUGCAAACCGUUGAUUCAGUGCAAUCAGACCUCAAAUCAGGUAGGACUACCCGCUGAACUUAAGCAUAUCAAUAAGCGGAGGCU
rnacentral:misc_RNA from 1 species